CCUACGGGAGGCAGCAGUGAGGAAUAUUGGUCAAUGGGCGCGAGCCUGAACCAGCCAAGUCGCGUGAGGGAGGACGGCCCUACGGGUUGUAAACCUCUUUUGCCGGGGAGCAACGGGCGCCACGUGUGGCGCCACUGAGAGUACCCGGAGAAAAAGCAUCGACUAACUCCGUGCCAGCAGCCGCGGUAAUACGGAGGAUGCGAGCGUUAUCCGGAUUUAUUGGGUUUAAAGGGUGCGUAGGCGGAUCGUUAAGUCAGUGGUCAAAUUGAGGGGCUCAACCCCUUCCCGCCAUUGAAACUGGCGAUCUUGAGUGGAAGAGAAGUAUGCGGAAUGCGUGGUGUAGCGGUGAAAUGCAUAGAUAUCACGCAGAACCCCGAUUGCGAAGGCAGCAUGCCGGCUUCCGACUGACGCUGAAGCACGAAAGCGUGGGGAUCGAACAGGAUUAGAUACCCGGGUAGUC
rnacentral:rRNA from 1 species